GAUGAACGCUGGCGGCGUGCUUAACACAUGCAAGUCGAACGGAAAGGCCACAGCUUGCUGUGGUACUCGAGUGGCGAACGGGUGGGUAACACGUGGGUGAUCUGCCCUGUACUUCGGGAUAAGCUUGGGAAACUGGGUCUAAUACCGGAUAGGAAUCACAUGUGGGUGUGUGGUUGGAAAGCUUUUGCGGUAUGGGAUGAGCUCGCGGCCUAUCAGCUUGUUGGUGGGGUAAUGGCCUACCAAGGCGUCGACGGGUAGCCGGCCUGAGAGGGUGUACGGCCACAUUGGGACUGAGAUACGGCCCAGACUCCUACGGGAGGCAGCAGUGGGGAAUAUUGCACAAUGGGCGCAAGCCUGAUGCAGCGACGCCGCGUGGGGGAUGACGGCCUUCGGGUUGUAAACUCCUUUCGUCAGGGACGAAGCGAAAGUGACGGUACCUGGAUAAGAAGCACCGGCUAACUACGUG
rnacentral:rRNA from 1 species